UAGUUCUGUGGAGUACAUCACAUCACUUGUAAAUCUGUGUAUGAGUCGAGUGAGAUAAAGGGAAGCUGCAAAAAAUCUGCUCAUAGAUGAAUCUUUGGAAUAAAACUAGGCCUGCAAAUGGAUCUGAUCAAAUCAGAUGUAAGGUUCUUUUGCAUGAAGGUGGUAUCCUUCUCAUUUCCUCGGUUUAAUGCGUGCCCUAAUUCACCCUACAUGGUCCUGGAGGCAGGAUAUUCAACAAAUGCUUGAUGGAUUAAAAUCUGCCGUGUCUGGUGUCCUAGAAAGAAUUCCCACCUCAAGCACCAUACGAUUGCACCCUUGUAAUUUGGAUUUGUUAUAGGCUGUAAUUACAAGUUUAUCCAUUCCUGUUGAGCUUAGUUUGGAUAAGAAAUAAAAUAUCAAAGAAAAAAGCGUCAUUUAAUGUAUUUUCCAGAAGUAAUUUUUAUAUUUUGCACAAAGAAGUUGAUAAAAGGUCCAUUUUUAUAGUU